GUGGGGAAUCUUGCGCAAUGGGCGAAAGCCUGACGCAGCCAUGCCGCGUGAAUGAUGAAGGUCUUAGGAUUGUAAAAUUCUUUCACCGGGGACGAUAAUGACGGUACCCGGAGAAGAAGCUCCGGCUAACUUCGUGCCAGCAGCCGCGGUAAUACGAAGGGGGCUAGCGUUGCUCGGAAUUACUGGGCGUAAAGGGCGCGUAGGCGGACUGCUUAGUCAGAGGUGAAAGCCCAGGGCUCAACCUUGGAAUUGCCUUUGAUACUGGCUGUGUUGAGUUUGGGAGAGGUGAGUGGAACUCCGAGUGUAGAGGUGAAAUUCGUAGAUAUUCGGAAGAACACCAGUGGCGAAGGCGACUCACUGGCCGAAUACUGACGCUGAGGCGCGAAAGCGUGGGGAGCAAACAGGAUUAGAAACCCGGGUAGUCC
rnacentral:rRNA from 1 species